rnacentral:tRNA from 1 species
UCCGGCAUGGUGUAGUGGUUAGCAUACUCCGCUUUCACCGGAGAGAUCCGAGUUCGAUUCUCGGUGUCGGAA